rnacentral:ncRNA from 1 species
GAGAUAGAGGCGCAAAGAUUAUUAGUACCAUUAUGGAGUUAAGCACUGUGAUAUAAUGAGAAAGGAUGAAUUGCCGAAGGUUAUAGUUAAGGCUUUAAUACUAUAUUCCUGGUUACAUGUAUAAUAUACAUGUAAUUGUCACAUAAUUGUGGAGAGCUAUCC